GAUGAACGCUGGCGGCGUGCUUAACACAUGCAAGUCGAACGGAAAGGCUCCUGCUUGCAGGGGUACUCGAGUGGCGAACGGGUGAGUAACACGUGGGUGAUCUGCCCUGCACUUCGGGAUAAGCCUGGGAAACUGGGUCUAAUACCGGAUAGGACGAUGGUUUGGAUGCCAUUGUGGAAAGUUUUUCGGUGUGGGAUGAGCUCGCGGCCUAUCAGCUUGUUGGUGGGGUAAUGACCUACCAAGGCGUCGACGGGUAGCCGGCCUGAGAGGGUGUACGGCCACAUUGGGACUGAGAUACGGCCCAGACUCCUACGGGAGGCAGCAGUGGGGAAUAUUGCACAAUGGGCGCAAGCCUGAUGCAGCGACGCCGCGUGGGGGAUGACGGCCUUCGGGUUGUAAACUCCUUUCGCUAGGGACGAAGCGCAAGUGACGGUACCUGGAGAAGAAGCACCGGCUAACUACGUG
rnacentral:rRNA from 1 species